AAACCAUGCAUCAGGAAUUUUCUAAUUAACUCCUUGAAUCACUCUCAUGCUUCAUAUAAUGUUUCGUCCUCAGAUUUUUGGAAAGACGUAAUAUCGUUCCUCAAUUU
rfam:Gossypium raimondii Chr10_contig_821, whole genome shotgun sequence.